rnacentral:rRNA from 1 species
AUUGAACGCUGGCGGCAGGCCUAACACAUGCAAGUCGAACGAGUGGCGGACGGGUGAGUAAUGUAUGGGAAACUGCCUGAUGUAGGGGGAUAACUACUGGAAACGGUAGCUAAUAACGCAUACCAUCAGAUGUGCCCAGAUGGGAUUAGCUUGUUGGUGGGGUAACGGCUCACCAAGGCGACGAUCCCUAGCUGGUCUGAGCGGAUGACCAGCCACACUGGAACGGAGACCAGAUCCAGUCCCCUACGUGAGGCACCAGUGGGGAAUGUUGCACAAUGGACGCAAGCCUGGUGCAGCCAUGCCGCGUGUAUGAAGAAGUCCUUCGGGUUUUAAAGUACUUUCAUCGGGGAGGCGUUACCCGCAGAAGAAGCACCGGCUAACUCCGUACCAGCAGCCGCGGUAAUAC